rnacentral:lncRNA from 1 species
AUUAGGAGCUAUAUAUACAUUACUUAAUUUAAUUCUAAUAACAAGUAUAUUACCUGCUUUUUAUCCUUAUUUCACAGAUCAAGAAACUGAGUCUCAAAAAAUAUUUGAUGGAAGUCUAUCUGGGUCUAAUGCCAGGGCUUCUAACCAAUCCACACUAUAAUGUUUGAAUACAAAGAAAUAUCCUGGCAUUGGUUGGAACCACUCCAUCUUUUCCUCUGCAAACUCUCUUCAGGCCUGGUGACAGAGAACUUCACCAAGGUACCCUGUUCUGAUCCAAGUCCUGUGACCCCUUUCUGCCAUGAGGGUCCUUUCGUUGACUCGCACACCUGAGGAUACAUCCAUUACAGAGCAGGUCAUGUGAACGUACCCCAACCCUGAUGCCAGGCGUUAUUCACUGGGCUCAAAAGAGGACAUCUGGUUCAAGAUGACUCACUGAUUUUCUCUCCUGGAAAUCUGCAAGGUGGAUCCAGAAGUUCUAGUUAAGGUAAUAGGAGCUUUUACUGUGCUGCCUUCCAUGUUCAAAACAGGAAGAGGCUAGAUCUACAAAAAGGCAAAUGCUCAGAAAGAUGCCAGCAAGGUACUGAGUGAUAGAUAAGCAUUUGGAGGGGAUGAGGGAGAAGGAGCUAGGGAACCAGGAGACUGAAAGAGAAUAGAGAGUAACUUAGCCCCUAACUGCUCGCUUCUUGGAAUUCUUGCCCUUAAGUUCUAUAGAUUAUCCUUGUACGCUAGUAAAACUUACUUUGUUUGCUUCUGUGUUUUAAUCCAAUUUACACAAGUGUGUUACUCUCUGCAAAAUGAUUCCUAGGAGAGUAUGAAUACAUCUGGUAAGUAAUUGAAGCAUUCCUUCCAAACUAUAAUACCUCCCAUAUAAUUUUUGAUAUGUAUAUUUUCUUUUUUUUUUUUUUUUUUAAAGAUUUUAUUUAUUUAUUUGACAGAGAUAGAGACAGCCAGGGAGAGAGGGAACACAAGCAGGGGGAGUGGGAGAGGAAGAAGCAGGCUCACAGCAGAGGAGCCUGACGUGGGGCUCGAUCCCAUAACGCCGGGAUCACGCCCUGAGCCGAAGGCAGACGCUUAACCGCUGUGCCACCCAGGCGCCCC